GUGGUUUGUCGCGUUGUUCGUGAAAUCUCACGGCUUAACUGUGAGCGUGCGGGCGAUACGGGCAGACUUGAGUACUGCAGGGGAGACUGGAAUUCCUGGUGUAGCGGUGGAAUGCGCAGAUAUCAGGAGGAACACCGGUGGCGAAGGCGGGUCUCUGGGCAGUAACUGACGCUGAGGAGCGAAAGCGUGGGGAGCGAACAGGAUUAGAUACCCUGGUAGUCCACGCCGUAAACGGUGGGUACUAGGUGUGGGUUUCCUUCCUUGGGAUCCGUGCCGUAGCUAACGCAUUAAGUACCCCGCCUGGGGAGUACGGCCGCAAGGCUAAAACUCAAAGAAAUGGACGGGGGCCCGCACAAGCGGCGGAGCAUGUGGAUUAAUUCGAUGCAACGCGAAGAACCUUACCUGGGUUUGACAUGCACAGGACGCCGGCAGAGAUGUCGGUUCCCUUGUGGCCUGUGUGCAGGUGGUGCAUGGCUGUCGUCAGCUCGUGUCGUGAGAUGUUGGGUUAAGUCCCGCAUCGAGCGCAACCCUUGUCUCAUGUUGCCAGCGGGUAAUGCCGGGACUCGUGAGAGACUGCCGGGGUCUACUCGGAGGAAGGUGGGGAUGACGUCAAGUCAUCAUGCCCCUUAUGUCCAGGGCUUCACACAUGCUACAAUGGCCGGUACAAAGGGCUGCGAUGCCGUGAGGUUAAGCGAAUCCUUUUAAAGCCGGUCUCAGUUCGGAUCGGGGUCUGCAACUC
rnacentral:rRNA from 1 species